UUUGUUUUUUAAUUAAAAACUAGAAUGAAAGAUUUUACAUUUUAAUUUCUUUAUUAAAUAUAAUAUACUAACUUAUAUUAAAUAUAAAAAUAUAUUUAUAAAAUAAAAAGACGACAAGACCCUAUUAAAUUUUACUUAUUGUUUAGCUGGGGCAGCUUUUUAAAUAAAACUUUAAAAUUUAUAAUAUAAUAAUAUAUCUAUACUAAAAUUAAAAAAUCUAUUAUAAAUAAAUUAAUCUAAUUACUAUAGGGAUAACAGCGUUAUAUUUUUUUCAAGUUCAUAUUUAAAAAAAUCAUUGCGACCUCGAUGUUGAAUUAUAUUUCUUUAUUAAUGCAAU
rnacentral:rRNA from 1 species